CAAUUGGGGGGUCCAAAUAAUGCAGUCGAGCGGACAGAUGGGAGCUUGCUCUCUGAUGUUAUCGGCGGACGGGUGAGUAACACGGGGGUAACCUGCCUGUAAGACUGGGAUAACUCCGGGAAACCGGGGCUAAUACCGGAUGGUUGUUUGAACCGCAUGGUUCAAACAUAAAAGGUGGCUUCGGCUACCACUUACAGAUGGACCCGCGGCGCAUUAGCUAGUUGGUGAGGUAACGGCUCACCAAGGCAACGAUGCGUAGCCGACCUGAGAGGGUGAUCGGCCACACUGGGACUGAGACACGGCCCAGACUCCUACGGGAGGCAGCAGUAGGGAAUCUUCCGCAAUGGACGAAAGUCUGACGGAGCAACGCCGCGUGAGUGAUGAAGGUUUUCGGAUCGUAAAGCUCUGUUGUUAGGGAAGAACAAGUACCGUUCGAAUAGGGCGGUUCCUUGACGGUACCUAACCAGAAAGCCACGGCUAACUACGUGCCAGCAGCCGCGGUAAUACGUAGGUGGCAAGCGUUGUCCGGAAUUAUUGGGCGUAAAGGGCUCGCAGGCGGUUUCUUAAGUCUGAUGUGAAAGCCCCCGGCUCAACCGGGGAGGGUCAUUGGAAACUGGGGAACUUGAGUGCAGAAGAGGAGAGUGGAAUUCCACUUGUAGCGGUGAAAUGCGUAGAGAUGUGGAGGAACACCAGUGGCGAAGGCGACUCUCUGGUCUGUAACUGACGCUGAGGAGCGAAAGCGUGGGGAGCGAACAGGAUUAUAUACCCUUUGUAGUCC
rnacentral:rRNA from 1 species